rnacentral:rRNA from 1 species
AGGGGCCACCCAUAAUGCGGUCGAGCGCACGCGCCAAGACUUGCUCUCAUGAAGUUAGCGGCGGACGGGUGAGGACACGUGUCUGCCUACCCCAUAGACUGGGAUAAUCCGGCAAACCGGGGCUAAUACCGGAUAACCUCUUUUGCUGCAUGGUGCGAGAUUGAAAGACGGCUUCGGCUGUCACUUAUGGAUGGACCCGCGUCGCAUUAGCUAGUUGGUGAGGUAACGGCUCACCAAGGCGACGAUGCGUAGCCGACCUGAGAGGGUGAUCGGCCACACUGGGACUGAGACACGGCCCAGACUCCUACGGGAGGCAGCAGUAGGGAAUCUUCCGCAAUGGACGAAAGUCUGACGGAGCAACGCCGCGUGAGUGAUGAAGGUUUUCGGGUCGUAAAACUCUGUUGUAAGGGAAGAACAAGUGCUAGUUGAAUUGGCUGUCCCUUUGCGGGAACCUAACCAAAAGGCCACGGUUACUUCCGGCCAGGAAGCCCGGAAAAUCCUAGGGUGCAAGGGAUUAUCCGGAUUUAUGGGGUGUAAAGGCGGGUCGGAUGGAUUCUUGUGUCGGAGUUGAACUCCCCCGCGCCAACUGGGGUGGUGAUUGUGAAACUUGAGAAACUUAGAGGGCAAAAAAAGAACCGCGAAUUCCAGGGGUACGCGUGAAUGGGUAGAGGAAUAUGAGGUACCCCGGUGGCGAGGUGGGACUUUCUGGGUCUGUACUGACACCUAAAGCCGGAAAGCUUGCGAGACUACAUGGCAUUGGUUACCCUGGGUAGUCCAACGCCUUAAACGAUGAGGUGCUAGGGGUUAGGGGUUUUCAGCCCAUGUGUGCCUGAACUUAACGCAUUAUGGCGUCGCCUGGCGGAGUAUGGUCGCAAAGAUUGAAUCUCAAGGAAAUUGACCGAGGCCGCAAAAGCGGUGGUAACAUGGGGUCUAAAUGCCGAGACCACUCUACCGUC